CGACCAGACUCCUACGGGAGGCAGCAGUGGGGAAUAUUGCACAACGGGGGAAACCCUGAUGCAGCAACGCCGCGUGGGUGAAGGAGCGUUUCGGCGCGUAAAGCCCUGUCAGCGGGGAAGAAGAAAGACGGUACCCGACCAAGAAGCCCCAGCUAACUACGUGCCAGCAGCCGCGGUAAUACGUAGGGGGCAAGCGUUAUCCGGAUUUACUGGGUGUAAAGGGAGCGUAGACGGCGAAGAAAGUCUGAAGUGAAAGCCCGCGGCUUAACCGCGGAACUGCUUUGGAAACUUUUUUGCUGGAGUACCGGAGAGGUAAGCGGAAUUCCUAGUGUAGCGGUGAAAUGCGUAGAUAUUAGGAGGAACACCAGUGGCGAAGGCGGCUUACUGGACGGUAACUGACGUUGAGGCUCGAAAGCGUGGGGAGCAAACAGGAUUAGAUACCCCUGUAAC
rnacentral:rRNA from 1 species